CGCGUGAGAAUCUGGCUUUAGGACGGGGAUAACCACUGGAAACGGUGGCUAAGACCCGAUAUGCCGAGAGGUGAAAGUAUUUAUAGCCUAGAGGGGAGCUCGCGUCUGAUUAGCUAGUUGGUAGGGUAAGAGCCUACCAAGGCGACGAUCAGUAGCUGGUCUGAGAGGAUGAUCAGCCACACUGGGACUGAGACACGGCCCAGACUCCUACGGGAGGCAGCAGUGGGGAAUUUUCCGCAAUGGGCGAAAGCCUGACGGAGCAAUACCGCGUGGGGGAGGAAGGCUCUUGGGUUGUAAACUCCUUUUCUCAGGGAAGAACAAAAUGACGGUACCUGAGGAAUCAGCAUCGGCUAACUCCGUGCCAGCAGCCGCGGUAAUACGGAGGAUGCAAGCGUUAUCCGGAAUCAUUGGGCGUAAAGCGUCCGCAGGUGGCAAUUCAAGUCUGCUGUCAAAGGUCGGGGCUUAACUCCGAACAGGCAGUGGAAACUGAAUAGCUAGAGUAUGGUAGGGGCAGAGGGAAUUCCUGGUGUAGCGGUGAAAUGCGUAGAGAUCAGGAAGAACACCGGUGGCGAAAGCGCUCUGCUAGGCCAUAACUGACACUCAGGGACGAAAGCUAGGGGAGCGAAUGGGAUUAGAU
rnacentral:rRNA from 1 species